UACCCAUGGUGAGGGCAAGUAUUAAGAAAAUCUUUGAAUCUCUCCCAACACUGAUAAAAGGUUUCAGUGUCUUUUUUAUCAAAAUUCAUGAUUUGUCUUUUCAGUGCA